AUUGAACGCUGGCGGCAGGCCUAACGCAUGCAAGUCGAACGGAAAGGCCCUGCUUUUGUGGGGUGCUCGAGUGGCGAACGGGUGAGUAACACGUGAGUAACCUGCCCUUGACUUUGGGAUAACUUCAGGAAACUGGGGCUAAUACCGGAUAGGAGCUCCUGCUGCAUGGUGGGGGUUGGAAAGUUUCGGCGGUUGGGGAUGGACUCGCGGCUUAUCAGCUUGUUGGUGGGGUAGUGGCUUACAAGGCUUUGACGGGUAGCCGGCCUGAGAGGGUGACCGGCCACAUUGGGACGGAGAUACGGCCAAGACUCCUAGGGGAGGCAGCAGUGGGGAAUAUUGCACAAUGGCGGAAGCCUGAUGCAGCAACGCCGCGUGCGGGAUGACGGCCUUCGGGUUGUAAACCGCUUUCGCCUGUGACGAAGCGUGAGUGACGGUAAUGGGUAAAGAAGCACCGGCUAACUACGUG
rnacentral:rRNA from 1 species